GGAUUCCCCUAGUAACGGCGAGUGAAGCGGGAAGAGCUCAAAUUUGUAAUCUGGCGGUCUGACGGCCGUCCGAGUUGUAAUCUGGAGAAGCGUUUUCAGUGCCGGCCCGCGUACAAGUCCCCUGGAACGGGGCGUCGUAGAGGGUGAGAAUCCCGUCUCUGACGUGGCACGCCGGUACGUUGCGAUGCGCUCUCGAAGAGUCGAGUUGUUUGGGAAUGCAGCUCAAAACGGGUGGUAAAUUCCAUCUAAAGCUAAAUACUGGCGAAAGACCGAUAGCGAACAAGUACCGUGAGGGAAAGAUGAAAAGCACUUUGGAAAGAGAGUCAAACAGUACGUGAAAUUGUUGAAAGGGAAACGCUUGAAGUCAGUCGCGUCUCCCGGGACUCAGUCGGUGUCCGACCGACGUAUUUCCUGGGUUCGGACGGGCCAGCAUCGAUUCGGACCGUCGUAAAAAGUCGAGGGGAACGUGACACCUUCGGGUGUGUUAUAGCCCCCUGUUCUGUAUGCGAACGGUCCGGAUCGAGGAACGCAGCGCGCCCUCGCGGCCGGGGUUCUAACCCACGUCACGCGCUUAGGAUGCUGGCUUAAUGGCUUCAAGCGACCCGUCUUGAAACACGGACCAAGGAGUCUAACAUGCUCGCGAGUGUUCGGGUGGAAAACCCGUGCGCGUAAUGAAAGUGAAAGGUUGGGACCCUUCUUUCGAGGAAGGGGCACCGACGCCCGGACUUGAGCUGCUGCGACGGUUCCGAGGCGGAGCGAGUAUGUUGGGACCCGAAAGAUGGUGAACUAUGCCUGAGUAGGGCGAAGCCAGAGGAAACUCUGGUGGGAGGCUCGUAGCGAUUCUGACGUGCAAAUCGAUCGUCGAACUUGGGUAUAGGGGCGAAAGACUAAUCGAA
rnacentral:rRNA from 1 species